rnacentral:lncRNA from 1 species
CCCUCACUGAGCCAUUUUCCCAGGGGACAUAAGGCCUUGCCCGGUGAGGUGCAAAGGAUCUCCUAUGCUUCCUCGUGAGCCAGUUGUUCUAGCCCUCCCAGCCCAGACCUUCUCCAGGGUCAGAGAGGGCUCCCAAGAGAGGCGUGACAGAGGGGGGCAGGUGAGAGGACAGGAAGGCAGGACCAGGAUGGCAUUGACAGAACAUUCAACCAAUGAUGCACGGGGCCCUUCUAUGCCCUGUCAAGACAUGUGUCCAUGA